GUCUAUGGCCAUACCACCCUGAAUGCUUCCAUCUUGUCUGAUAUCAGAAGGUAAGGAGGGCUCGGCUUGGUUAGUACUUGAAUGGGGCCUAUGAGACCAGGCCAGUUAACACC
rnacentral:rRNA from 1 species